rnacentral:lncRNA from 1 species
CCAGGAUAUUGCUGCAAAGGUAUGCUGGGGAGGGUGGAUUCUGGCUCCCACACUUUAGAGAGCUCUGCAAGACUUCCUCUUGUCUUAUUGACCAGAAUUAGGACACACGGCCAGUCCUAGCUGCGAAGAAAGCUUGGAAAUUGGAGGGUAAGAUUAUUAUAAGCACUUGGACCAGUCAUGAUCCAUGACCAGGAACUGGGCCCACUGCCACCCACACAAAGUCAUGGUUCCAUCAGCAAGAGAGAAGGGGGAAAUUAGGUUAAAGGCAUAUGGACUCAACAUGUCACCGGAAGGAAAACACCAGCUGGUCUUACAGCUCUUGAACGGGCAGCUCACCCAGAGACACCACGCUGCAGGGCUUCUCUGCACCAACGUUCUUUCAGGGCCUGUGGAGAAAAUAUGGACGUUAGCAGUCAGAAAACAUGCUCGGGACACAGCAUUCGUGGCCGAGCUUCCCACAGCAGUGUGUAUGAACACCGCAGCUCCUCAUGGAACAAUUCUGUCCUCACCAAGCAACAUGAGACAACAAGGAAACACUUUCUGCCCCAGAAAUGUCCUUCCAUCACUUCCAGUUAAAAAUCACAUUUCUCCAAGAUUCUACCCACUCCCAUACACCUCAGCCUGGCUAAGGAAAUGAUUGGAAACUUAAAUCUGAGAGAAAAAGCUGACAUUUUACGAUAACGGGGAAAAGUUAUCCUCAAAUACUGCCUGUGGUAUUAAAAAUGGAAUUCAGAUAAGCUUCUUUGGGCCGCUCUGAUAGACUGGUUUCAUUUUGCUGGAAGAAAUCCUGGGAAUACACCCUCACUCUCAUCUGCAGGGAACAGGGGAGGGCAAUGGAAACUGUUGAAUCUGUACCCAAAAGAAGUUUCAAAUCACAGAAAACCUCUCAG